GACUAGUACAGAGUCUACUGAAAAGUGCUGAUCCUUUGAGCCGUCAACUUUUUUGUACAUGAACCCUCUUUCACUUUUGGCGGCCUCUUAUUUAUUUUUUGUUCGUCGUUCAGAGAAGGGGGUGCCAAGUCAUUUGUCAUCCGUGACGUGUCCCAUCUUCUUCACUUCGUCCUUUCCUACUGGGACAUCUCCAUUCUUUUGUUUCACCGGCAAUGAAUUCCGAACACCACCGAGGGAGCAUGAAAAAGGGCAUUCGAGGCGGUCUCGUACUUUGACGUUGUAGACAA
ensembl:ncRNA K10D6.21 ncRNA